CCUACGGGAGGCAGCAGUGAGGAAUAUUGGUCAAUGGGCGUAAGCCUGAACCAGCCAAGUCGCGUGAGGGAUGAAGGUUCUAUGGAUCGUAAACCUCUUUUAUAAGGGAAUAAAGUGCGGGACGUGUCCCGUUUUGUAUGUACCUUAUGAAUAAGGAUCGGCUAACUCCGUGCCAGCAGCCGCGGUAAUACGGAGGAUCCGAGCGUUAUCCGGAUUUAUUGGGUUUAAAGGGUGCGUAGGCGGCCUUUUAAGUCAGCGGGGAAAGUCUGUGGCUCAACCAUAGAAUUGCCGUGGAAACUGGGAGGCGUGAUUAUGUUUGAGGCAGGCGGAAGGCGUGGUGUAGCGGUG
rnacentral:rRNA from 1 species